CCUACGGGGGGCAGCAGUGGGGAAUAUUGCACAAUGGGGGAAACCCUGAUGCAGCGACGCCGCGUGAGUGAAGAAGUAUUUCGGUAUGUAAAGCUCUAUCAGCAGGGAAGAAAAUGACGGUACCUGUUUAAGAAGCCCCGGCUAACUACGUGCCAGCAGCCGCGGUAAUACGUAGGGGGCAAGCGUUAUCCGGAUUUACUGGGUGUAAAGGGAGCGUAGACGGCAGCACAAGUCUGGAGUGAAAUGCCGGGACUUAACCCCGGAACUGCUUUGGAAACUGUGCAGCUAGAGUGCAGGAGAGGUAAGUGGAAUUCCUAGUGUAGCGGUGAAAUGCGUAGAUAUUAGGAGGAACACCAGUGGCGAAGGCGGCUUACUGAACUGUAACUGACGUUGAGGCUCGAAAGCGUGGGGAGCAAACAGGAUUAGAUACCCCUGUAGUC
rnacentral:rRNA from 1 species